AUCAGUUUCUUUUACUGCUUGUUGGGAAAAUCGAUCGAUUGUCGAAGAUGAAAUCCGCUUUGAUCUUCCUGUUUGGAUUUAUUGGAAUUAAUAUCGCUAUGGCGCAGAACGAUGGAAGCGCAGCUGCAACUCAAAACGAUCCUGUGAAAAUGGUUCAACCUUUUAUAG